CAGUUGGAGGGGGUGGGAGGAAAGGAGGUGGUGGAAGGUGAGUAGGUGGAGCUCCUGGAGGGAAAAAUGGAGGUGGCUUGGUAAAAUUGUCUACUUCAGGAUUAGAUCGUUCUGAAAGAACCUGUAUGUUGCUGUUUUCAUUAGCACGUCGUCGUCCUUCUACCCUGCUGAUAGUGAUGGUCUGUCCAAUCACAUCUAUUGCACCAGAUAAUCGCCUGUUUGUUGGAAUUCCUGAUUUGAAUAAGGCAGGAGGAGAUGUGAAAUCAGCUUUGGUCGACUGCACUGCCAGCUCUUUCUCCAGAUUUCCAGUUCUGCCCUGUUGUACCGUAAUUUUAUUUGUGGCUGAGGUAACUGGUAAAAUUUCAAGACCCAUUCGUAUUCUCUUCUGUUUUUCACAGUAUGCUUUCCAGGUAUCUUCAUUGAACCCAUAGUUGAAAUAAUCAGAUAAAUCAGCCCCUGGUUUUCUCCAAGGUUUAUCUUCAAAAGAAUCUAGAUCUACUUCCAGAAGUGGUACACCAUUAAUAUUUCCUGGUGCAUCUAAAUCCACCCCUU
rnacentral:lncRNA from 1 species